AUCGAUGCCAUGGUGCAGCCAUGGGAACAGUACGUAAACUGGUUAGCUCCUCCUCCUAGACUGAUUACAGAAUGUAUUUCAGAACAAGCUAUUUCUUCUUUGAUUAUUCCACCGUGGAAAAGUGGAUCUUUCAUAUUUUUGGCAGACGUUAAUCGACAAUAGAUGCAAUUUUAGAGGUUUUGUUAAGGAAAUCAUAAAUUUAGGAAAAAAGAAAUGUUGUCUUAUCAGGAAACGGAAACAAUGAUUGUUUCGCCAAAAACCCACUGCCAUAUGAUAUGCUGGCGUUAAAAUGUGUUUUUAGUUAAAUAGGAAGAGGACAACAUGACUCAAAAUGUUAUUAUUUUAAUGAGAAUCUAAUAAUUUCCUAAUAUUGACAGGUAUUGGUUUGAAAGGUACGCUGAAAUGGAAACUAGAUGAACCAGGCAUACAAUGACAUUUACAGAUGCACAUUUCGAGGUAUAUUGCCGGCAUUCUGUUACAAUCUAGAGCAGACAAUACUUUUACUAAGUACAAAAACGCAUUCAAUCAGUUUGAAAGAUUCUGUGAUUCCAAAACAUUGACUUCAAAGCCAGCGCUACCUAUAAGUGUCGCCAGGUAUUUCACUCAUUUACCUGACGAAGGCAUGUCGGAUCACAUAGUGUCCGCAGCAUACUACGGUAUAAAAUGGGCACAUAGUAUAAACGCUCUACAAGACUCAACAAAUUACUUACUGCUAUCUUCACAGAGUUUUACGCAAUAUCCUGAAGAACACUCGCAGAUGAAUUUAAACGAAUGAGCAAAGCACGUGCCCCGAAUGCAAGGGUUAUAUCUACAUGGGUCAGUCACUGAAAAAUGUAUAGGCACGGGUAGGCACCUUGAUAGAACUACCAACCUUCCAUAAGCCGGCUGGAGGCUACCUCACAUGAAAGAAUUCUACAACCCAAGCGUGUUUAGAACUCACAGCGGUGCGGGAAAAGUGAUUCGAGGUCAGCGACCUUAACCACCCGGCCACGGAGACCCCCACACUAGAAAGUUACUUAGAUAAUAAAGGACAAUCUUAUAUAGUAAAACAAUAAAGAUAGUUUGAUGUUGUAUGAACUUUAAUGGUUUAAUUAAAGGAAACCGUGGCUUUAUAUUAAACGAUCUGUCAAACAUAUAAUUAUUACGUAUGUCUAUAUUUUAUGAAGGCGUUCGCUAAAUUUAAGUAUUAUACUCAACGCCAUUUAAAAAGGGAAUGCGGACAAAAAAUUGACAAUAAAUAAGGUUUGUCAAAAAUACGACUUUAAUUUCACAAGUAAAUACAAACAGGCAGAAAACAAGUCCGCAUUGUACCUUUUGUAGUGUAUGUAGCCGGACAACUGUCAUUUAAUAUGCAUGACCUGCCACAGCUCUAUAAAUAGCGCACACAAAACCUUCAUUCAUUUCUAUUUUAACAUCGAGAAACAUUCACUUUUACGUUCGAUAACAAAACAAAAAACAAAAAGGUGGAUAUAUAUAAUAAAAGGGUCAUUAUAACAGCAGUUAGAUCUGAGAUUUUGUAUUCGGCUCUAAUAUAAUUAUUUAGAUCGUUUACGGGCGCUAUGCAAGUAUUAGACAAGAUGUGUCACAGGAGAUCGCGCGCUCGACUAUUUUGGUACUGUGUAGUGAAACGGGGCAUAUCUGAGGAAACUACACCUAUCACUGGAGUCAUUAAUACACCAGCAGAGGAAUCAAAACAGUUCAUGUGUGAAGUUUCUAGUUCAAAAUACCAAAUGAAAACUAGGGAGUAUGGGUGCCCUAAUUUUCGUCCAUCCGAGAAGAAAAUGACACAAGCAUCUACACUUAAUGGGACUUGUCAUAUAUGGUGUAGGUGAUGAUGUGGAAUAACUGAUAACAGAGAUAAAGUGGACGCGUAUCAGAACAUUAACCAGAAAUUUUAUGUGUCAAAAGGGCAUAAUUCAUGGAAUAUUUUCCCAAGAGCUAUGGUCAUUGUGUCAUGAUGAUGUAUGUGAGUGAUGAUGGGGAACAACUAUUUUAAGUUUGAAUCAAAUUCAUUUUGUGAUUACAGUGAUGGCGUGAAAGUUCAUAAAUAUUUUAACCUGAAAUUCUAGAUAAAAGAAGUAUAAUUCAUAAAACAUUGGUUCCAGUGUAAUGCCCCAUUUGCCUUUGUCAUAUAAUGUAAGCGAUGAUAAGGAACACUUAUUAUAAGUUUGAAGUAAUGACAGAAUAAAUUGUGAUAGUGGCGAAAUUUCAUAUUUGCUCAUGGUAUCUUCUUUAUAAAAUAAAAAAGGUAUACGUCUUUACAAAAUUUCGGGACAGGUCUGUUAUUUCUUUGGACAGAUAAAACACAACUGAUUUUUGAGCUCGUAACCACACAAAUAUACAGUCGAAACUCGAUAUCUCAAACUCGCUUACCUCGAAAUUCCGCUUAAGUCGAAGAAAUUUUCAAGUCCCGUCAAUUUUCCUUCAUCAUAUAUGUAAUUCAAAACUUCGGUUACGUCAAAAUUUGACUUACCGAGACUUCGGAUGUGUCAAAAGGGUUUUUCAGUCCCGUCAAUAAAAUUCAAGUGCGUUGUAAUCUCGGUAAGUCGAAGUGAGAAAACUAUGCGAUUAAAUUUCACACAUGUCAUUGUGAAUGUAGCUGGUUAUUAACACAUGUCCAUGUUUAUUGCCUUACCAGAAAGUCGUGAUGCCGACAUAUCAAAGGUGCGGCGAAUAUCAAAGUGAGAUGAUGUCCUAUUUGUUUGCACGUGUCAUAAUGAUAAUUGUUUGAUGUAAACAUUAGAUUUCAUUAAUCAGCGGUCAUUUGUUUUGUGACGUUAUGAAAAUUGCUUUUAAUUUAAACUAAUGAAUUAAUUAGUUUGAACAGUUGGGAUCUUUAAUAAGGAUUAAUUAGAGGUUAUCGCGAUGAGACUGUAUUAAAAAUUAACUUCUUUGGAGAAAGCAUCAUUCCUUCAAAAUGUCAGAUCGAAAUGCUAUCAUUCCUCCGGGAGAGAAACGUGAUACAAAAGGGAAACUUGACUCAAAAACAUUUGAGGUUAGUAUCUUAGUAUCAUUUUUAUUCUUCGAAAAACUGAAAUCUUUGAUAAGCACAAACUGUACGGAAUCGUGUACGCGUUUUUAUGAUGACUGAUGCGCACAUGUCGGAAAUGAUACUUGACGAACAUGUAUGUAUGUAUGUAUGUAUAGAUUGUGUAUUUCUGAUUAUGUUUACAUGGAAAUAAAAUAUAAAAUGUA